rnacentral:rRNA from 1 species
UACGGAGGGUGCGAGCGUUGUCCGGAAUCACUGGGCGUAAAGGGCGCGUAGGCGGCGCGAGCAGUCGAUCGUGAAAGUCCGGAGCUCAACUCCGGAUCGGCGGUCGAUACUCUCGUGCUUGAGCACUGUAGAGGCAGAUGGAAUUCCGGGUGUAGCGGUGGAAUGCGUAGAGAUCCGGAAGAACACCGGUGGCGAAGGCGGUCUGCUGGGCAGUUG